rnacentral:piRNA from 1 species
UAGGUUGGCCUUAUUCUCAUGCUAGUGG